rnacentral:rRNA from 1 species
UACAGAGGUCCCGAGCGUUGUUCGGAAUUACUGGGCGUAAAGAGUGUGUAGGCGGUGUUCCCAGUCUGUUGUGAAAUCUCCCGGCUUAACUGGGAGGGUGCAGCGGAAACUAGAAUGCUAGAGGGUGGGAGAGGUAAGCGGAAUUCCUGGUGUAGCGGUGAAAUGCGUAGAUAUCAGGAGGAACACCUGUGGUGUAGACAGCUUACUGGACCACUUCUGACGCUGAGACACGAAAGCGUGGGUAGCAAACAGG